rnacentral:lncRNA from 1 species
AAUUAAAAACAAAAUUGUUACUGAAUGCCACAAGUUUAUAGAAAUUGAAAUCCUGCAUAUAAACCAAAUGGAUCUGCAUAAUUGAUCAUCAUAUAACUGAAGGUAAGCAUACAAAGCUUAAUACACAAAACCAAGACAAGAAAGCUAGACAAUCACAUAAUUUUUUAGUACAAUGAUAAUUAAAGUAAAGGGUAAAUGACAUAAGAGAUCACUAAACUUUGAGAUUAUACCUAAUUUAAUUAUGAAACAUCAAUUUCAUAUAGAUGAAUCACUAAAAAUUAACCAAAUUGAAAAAGAUUUAAAGUUUAGUGAUUCAUAUAUAAAAAAUUAAUAUUUUGUAAUUAUAUUAGAAAUAAAUUCAAAAUUUAGUGACUUCAAGUGUUAUUUACCCUUAAUGCAUGUCUAGUUAGAGAAUGGACAGGCAUGAGAUGAGGUAUGAAUUUGCUGUGAUUGGGAUUCUGAAAUCAAUUCUCCUUUUAAGAGGCCACUAAAUAAUUCUGCUGGUUCAUAGUAAACCUCCACAUCUUCUGCCCUUAGAGAUUCAUCCACCUAUCAAAAUCCAUACAAACUCAUGACCAAAUCAUUAAACAGUUUAAAUAAGUCAUUUAAGGUUUAUGUACGGGACUAAAAAAACAACUGAUUUUCCUAAAUAUAGCUAAAUGGAUCAUUUUGAUCCGGAUCAAAUUCACCAUGUCCAUUUAAAUUGUCGUAAUUG